GGGUUGUGAGGUUAAGCGACUAAGCGUACACGGUGGAUGCCCUGGCAGUCAGAGGCGAUGAAGGACGUGCUAAUCUGCGAUAAGCGUCGGUAAGGUGAUAUGAACCGUUAUAACCGGCGAUUUCCGAAUGGGGAAACCCAGUGUGAUUCGUCACACUAUCAUUAACUGAAUCCAUAGGUUAAUGAGGCGAACCGGGGGAACUGAAACAUCUAAGUACCCCGAGGAAAAGAAAUCAACCGAGAUUCCCCCAGUAGCGGCGAGCGAACGGGGAGGAGCCCAGAGCCUGAAUCAGUGUGUGUGUUAGUGGAAGCGUCUGGAAAGGCGCGCGAUACAGGGUGACAGCCCCGUACACAAAAAUGCACAUAUUGUGAGCUCGAUGAGUAGGGCGGGACACGUGGUAUCCUGUCUGAAUAUGGGGGGACCAUCCUCCAAGGCUAAAUACUCCUGACUGACCGAUAGUGAACCAGUACCGUGAGGGAAAGGCGAAAAGAACCCCGGCGAGGGGAGUGAAAAAGAACCUGAAACCGUGUACGUACAAGCAGUGGGAGCCUCUUAAUGGGGUGACUGCGUACCUUUUGUAUAAUGGGUCAGCGACUUAUAUUCUGUAGCAAGGUUAACCGAAUAGGGGAGCCGAAGGGAAACCGAGUCUUAACUGGGCGUUAAGUUGCAGGGUAUAGACCCGAAACCCGGUGAUCUAGCCAUGGGCAGGUUGAAGGUUGGGUAACACUAACUGGAGGACCGAACCGACUAAUGUUGAAAAAUUAGCGGAUGACUUGUGGCUGGGGGUGAAAGGCCAAUCAAACCGGGAGAUAGCUGGUUCUCCCCGAAAGCUAUUUAGGUAGCGCCUCGUGAAUUCAUCUCCGGGGGUAGAGCACUGUUUCGGCAAGGGGGUCAUCCCGACUUACCAACCCGAUGCAAACUGCGAAUACCGGAGAAUGUUAUCACGGGAGACACACGGCGGGUGCUAACGUCCGUCGUGAAGAGGGAAACAACCCAGACCGCCAGCUAAGGUCCCAAAGUCAUGGUUAAGUGGGAAACGAUGUGGGAAGGCCCAGACAGCCAGGAUGUUGGCUUAGAAGCAGCCAUCAUUUAAAGAAAGCGUAAUAGCUCACUGGUCGAGUCGGCCUGCGCGGAAGAUGUAACGGGGCUAAACCAUGCACCGAAGCUGCGGCAGCGACACUAUGUGUUGUUGGGUAGGGGAGCGUUCUGUAAGCCUGUGAAGGUGGCCUGUGAGGGUUGCUGGAGGUAUCAGAAGUGCGAAUGCUGACAUAAGUAACGAUAAAGCGGGUGAAAAGCCCGCUCGCCGGAAGACCAAGGGUUCCUGUCCAACGUUAAUCGGGGCAGGGUGAGUCGACCCCUAAGGCGAGGCCGAAAGGCGUAGUCGAUGGGAAACAGGUUAAUAUUCCUGUACUUGGUGUUACUGCGAAGGGGGGACGGAGAAGGCUAUGUUGGCCGGGCGACGGUUGUCCCGGUUUAAGCGUGUAGGCUGGUUUUCCAGGCAAAUCCGGAAAACCAAGGCUGAGGCGUGAUGACGAGGCACUACGGUGCUGAAGUAACAAAUGCCCUGCUUCCAGGAAAAGCCUCUAAGCAUCAGGUAACAUCAAAUCGUACCCCAAACCGACACAGGUGGUCAGGUAGAGAAUACCAAGGCGCUUGAGAGAACUCGGGUGAAGGAACUAGGCAAAAUGGUGCCGUAACUUCGGGAGAAGGCACGCUGAUAUGUAGGUGAAGCGACUUGCUCGUGGAGCUGAAAUCAGUCGAAGAUACCAGCUGGCUGCAACUGUUUAUUAAAAACACAGCACUGUGCAAACACGAAAGUGGACGUAUACGGUGUGACGCCUGCCCGGUGCCGGAAGGUUAAUUGAUGGGGUUAGCGGUAACGCGAAGCUCUUGAUCGAAGCCCCGGUAAACGGCGGCCGUAACUAUAACGGUCCUAAGGUAGCGAAAUUCCUUGUCGGGUAAGUUCCGACCUGCACGAAUGGCGUAAUGAUGGCCAGGCUGUCUCCACCCGAGACUCAGUGAAAUUGAACUCGCUGUGAAGAUGCAGUGUACCCGCGGCAAGACGGAAAGACCCCGUGAACCUUUACUAUAGCUUGACACUGAACAUUGAGCCUUGAUGUGUAGGAUAGGUGGGAGGCUUUGAAGUGUGGACGCCAGUCUGCAUGGAGCCGACCUUGAAAUACCACCCUUUAAUGUUUGAUGUUCUAACGUUGGCCCCUAAUCGGGGUUGCGGACAGUGUCUGGUGGGUAGUUUGACUGGGGCGGUCUCCUCCUAAAGAGUAACGGAGGAGCACGAAGGUUGGCUAAUCCUGGUCGGACAUCAGGAGGUUAGUGCAAUGGCAUAAGCCAGCUUGACUGCGAGCGUGACGGCGCGAGCAGGUGCGAAAGCAGGUCAUAGUGAUCCGGUGGUUCUGAAUGGAAGGGCCAUCGCUCAACGGAUAAAAGGUACUCCGGGGAUAACAGGCUGAUACCGCCCAAGAGUUCAUAUCGACGGCGGUGUUUGGCACCUCGAUGUCGGCUCAUCACAUCCUGGGGCUGAAGUAGGUCCCAAGGGUAUGGCUGUUCGCCAUUUAAAGUGGUACGCGAGCUGGGUUUAGAACGUCGUGAGACAGUUCGGUCCCUAUCUGCCGUGGGCGCUGGAGAACUGAGGGGGGCUGCUCCUAGUACGAGAGGACCGGAGUGGACGCAUCACUGGUGUUCGGGUUGUCAUGCCAAUGGCACUGCCCGGUAGCUAAAUGCGGAAGAGAUAAGUGCUGAAAGCAUCUAAGCACGAAACUUGCCCCGAGAUGAGUUCUCCCUGACUCCUUGAGGGUCCUGAAGGAACGUUGAAGACGACGACGUUGAUAGGCCGGGUGUGUAAGCGCAGCGAUGCGUUGAGCUAACCGGUACUAAUGAACCGUGAGGCUUAACCUUACAACGCCGAAG
rnacentral:rRNA from 1 species